rnacentral:rRNA from 1 species
AUGAACGCUAGCGACAGGCUAACACAUGCAAGUCGAGGGGUAACAGGGUAGCAAUACCGCUGGCGACCGGCGCACGGGUGAGUAACGCGUAUGCAACCUGCCUAUAACUGGGGAAUAGCUCCCUGAAAGGGGGAAUUAACACCGCAUAACACUAUUGAUUCGCAUGGAUUUGUAGUUAAAUGUAGCGAUACAGGUUAUAGAUGGGCAUGCGUGACAUUAGCUAGUUGGUGAGGUAACGGCUCACCAAGGCUACGAUGUCUAGGGGUUCUGAGAGGAAGGUCCCCCACACUGGUACUGAGACACGGACCAGACUCCUACGGGAGGCAGCAGUGAGGAAUAUUGGUCAAUGGGCGCAAGCCUGAACCAGCCAUGUCGCGUGCAGGAAGAACCUGCCCUAUGGGUUGUAAACUGCUUUUAUAGUAGAAGAAACACAUCUACGUGUAGAUGUCUGCCAGUAUACUAUGAAUAAGCAUCGGCUAACUCCGUGCCAGCCGCCGC